AAUACGAUAUUAGUGUUACGGUGGGGAUUAUAAACCGGUGGUUCAUGGACCCCGAAGUCCAGACAUCCAUAUGGAUAAAAACAUGGGUGUCCAUUAGGUUGUGUAUGGUUAGGCUAGGUCAGGUAACCAAGCUUUGGGGUAGUCUUUUCUCCAAAUAUUAACCUAUGUAAAUAAAAAUCGGGAUUUUCUUCAAUGGUCGCAAUUAAAAUAA